rnacentral:rRNA from 1 species
AGAACGAACGCUGGCGGCAUGCCUAACACAUGCAAGUCGAACGUGAAGCUUGGAGCUUGCUCCAAGUGGAAAGUGGCGCACGGGUGAGUAUCGCGUGGGUAACGUACCCUUUGGCGGGGGAUAACCCGAGGAAACUUGGGCUAAUACCGCAUAAGCUCCUUAGAGGUUCGCCGAAAAGGAGGAAAGCAGGGCAACUUGCACCGGAGGAUCGACCAGCGACCCAUCAGCUUGAUGGUAGGGUAACGGCCUACCAUGGCUACGACGGGUAGCUGGUCUGAGAGGAUGAUCAGCCACACUGGGACUGAGACACGGCCCAGACUCCUACGGGAGGCAGCAGCGGGGAAUAUUGGGCAAUGGGCGAAAGCCUGACCCAGCAAUGCCGUGUGUGUGAUGAAGGCCCUUGGGUUGUAAAGCACUGUCGGGAGGGAAGAAAAAGACGGGGUAACGCCCGGACUUGACGGUACCUCCAAAGGAAGCACCGGCUAACUCCGUGCCAGCAGCCGCGGUAAUACGGAGGGUGCAAGCGUUGUUCGGAAUUACUGGGCGUAAAGCGCGUGUAGGCGGCGCUGUAAGUCGGAUGUGAAAGCCCUCGGCUCAACCGAGGAAGUGCAUUCGAUACUGCAGUGCUUGAGUUUCGGAGGGGGUGGCGGAAUUCCCGGUGUAGAGGUGAAAUUCGUAGAUAUCGGGAGGAACACCUGUGGCGAAGGCGGCCACCUGGACGAACACUGACGCUGAGACGCGAAAGCGUGGGUAGCAAACAGGAUUAGAUACCCUGGUAGUCCACGCCGUAAACGAUGAGUGCUAGACGUUGCGGGUAUUGACCCCUGCGGUGUCGAAGCUAACGCGUUAAGCACUCCGCCUGGGGAGUACGGUCGCAAGAUUA